ACGCUGGCGGCGUGCCUACACAUGCAAGUCGAACGCGGUUACCCCGCAAGGGGUAACUGAGUGGCAAACGGGUGAGUAACACGUGGGUGACCUGCCUUCGAGUGGGGGAUAACGUCCCGAAAGGGACGCUAAUACCGCAUGACAUCCUGCCUUUGGAAAGGUGGAGAUCAAAGCUGGGGAUCGCAAGACCUGGCGCUUGAAGAGGGGCCCGCGGCUGAUUAGCUAGUUGGUGAGGUAACGGCUCACCAAGGCUCCGAUCAGUAUCCGGCCUGAGAGGGCGGACGGACACACUGGGACUGAGACACGGCCCAGACUCCUACGGGAGGCAGCAGUGGGGAAUUGUUCGCAAUGGGCGCAAGCCUGACGACGCAACGCCGCGUGGAGGACGAAGAUCUUCGGGUCGUAAACUCCUGUCGAGCGGGAAGAAUACCAUUCGGGUCAAUACCUUGAAUGGCUGACGGUACCGCUAAAGGAAGCCCCGGCUAACUCCGUGCCAGCAGCCGCGGUAAU
rnacentral:rRNA from 1 species